rnacentral:rRNA from 1 species
GCUUGCUGGGUGGAUUAGUGGCGAACGGGUGAGUAACACGUGAGUAACCUGCCCUUAACUCUGGGAUAAGCCUGGGAAACUGGGUCUAAUACCGGAUAGGAGCGUCCACCGCAUGGUGGGUGUUGGAAAGAUUUAUCGGUUUUGGAUGGACUCGCGGCCUAUCAGCUUGUUGGUGAGGUAAUGGCUCACCAAGGCGACGACGGGUAGCCGGCCUGAGAGGGUGACCGGCCACACUGGGACUGAGACACGGCCCAGACUCCUACGGGAGGCAGCAGUGGGGAAUAUUGCACAAUGGGCGAAAGCCUGAUGCAGCGACGCCGCGUGAGGGAUGACGGCCUUCGGGUUGUAAACCUCUUUCAGUAGGGAAGAAGCGAAAGUGACGGUACCUGCAGAAGUAAGCACCGGCUAACUACGUGCCAGCAGCCGCGGUAAUACGUAGGGUGCGAGCGUUAUCCGGAAUUAUUGGGCGUAAAGAGCUCGUAGGGCGGUUUGUCGCGUCUGUCGUGAAAGUCCGGGGCUUAAUCCCCGGAUCUUCGGUGGGUACGGGCAGACUAGAGUGCAGUAGGGGAGACUGGAAUUCCUGGUGUAGCGGUGGAAUGCGCAGAUAUCAGGAGGAACACCGAUGGCGAAGGCAGGUCUCUGGGCUGUAACUGACGCUGAGGAGCGAAAGCAUGGGGAGCGAACAGGAUUAGAUACCCUGGUAGUCCAUGCCGUAAACGUUGGGCACUAGGUGUGGGGACCAUUCCACGGUUUCCGUGCCGCAGCUAACGCAUUAAGUGCCCCG